rnacentral:rRNA from 1 species
UACAGAGGUGGCAAGCGUUGUUCGGGAUUACUGGGCGUAAAGGGCGCGUAGGCGGUUCGUUAAGUCCUGUGUGAAAUCCCCCGGCUCAACUGGGGAACUGCACAGGAAACUAGCGGGCUUGAGUUCGGGAGAGGGAAGCGGAAUUCCGGGUGUAGCGGUGAAAUGCGUAGAUAUCCGGAGGAACACCGGUGGCGAAGGCGGCUUCCUGGACCGACACUGACGCUGAGGCGCGAAAGCUAGGGGAGCAAACGGG